GUCUGUGUGAAAAUAAAUAUAAAGUCUAGCCUGCCCACUGAUAUUUUAAAGGGCUGCGGUAAUUUGACCGUGCAAAGGUAGCAUAAUCAGUAGUCUCUUAAUUGGAGGCUUGUAUGAACGGUUGGAUGAGAGAUAAGCUGUCUUUUUUAUAAUUUAAAACUUGACUUUUAAGUGAAAAGGCUUAAAUUAAAUAGGGGGACGAUAAGACCCUAUAAAACUUUAUACACGACUCAGUUCAUCUUUAAAUUUUAAUUAAAUUAAAGUGAAAUGGGACGUGUAUUUCGUUGGGGAGACGUUGAUAUAAACUGUAACUGUCUAAUUGAAAAAUAUAAAAAUAAUUAUUAUAUGAUCCUUCUUUGUGGAUAAAAAGAUUAAGUUACUUUAGGGAUAACAGCGUAAUUCUUUCUGAGAGUUCUUAUCGAAGAAAGUAGUUGCGACCUCGAUGUUGAAUUAAAAUUUCUUUUAGGUGUAGCCGCUUAAUCAGUAGGUCUGUUCGACCUUUAAAAUUUUACAUGAUUUGAGUUCAAACCGGUGUGAG
rnacentral:rRNA from 1 species